UUCAAUAACGAUUGAGAUCUUCAUUUUAGCCUUAUGCACUGUUUUUCUAUUUAUCAUUAGUGUCUUUUCAUCACUUUCAGCAUAGAACUUCCAGUUUAUCCUUCUGUUUCCUCAGGUCGUCUAUGGCAUCCAUUCUGACACCAUCUCUUCCGUGAGGCACUUCACAACCACUUCCAGUUUCUCUAACAGCUUGACUUCUUGUGCUGCAGACUUGGAAAGUGGGCAGCAGUCCUGAAAAUUGUACAUAUUCUGCAGAAUUAAGAGGAUCUGACAGCAACGGAUCACAAAUACAGGAGCAUCACACGUUAUGACCUCAUCACAUGUUAUGUCAGUCCUGAGUCUUAGCCCAAGCAGACACUAGUAACCAAGAUAAAAAUGGGUGGAGAGACACAGAAAGGAGGAAGACUCCACAAAUCCAUUUCCCAUCAACUGGUUCUUCUGUCACUUCUCCCUGGCCACAGACACUUUUGGCUUCUAUUUCAAAUAGUGUGGAGGGGAUGCAGAAAGAGCAAAGACCCAGCCUCUUCCCAUUGGGGGGCCUGUGGGAGAAGUCUAAAAACUGCUCCUGUGUCAACCUCCCAUCCUGGCCUGAAGGAAGGGAAGGAGCCCUCCAACCUUGGGUGGCCUAUGCCAUCUUCCCCUUUCCACAAUCCCAGCUCCUCCUGCCCAGAUUGAAACUCCUACUGUCAGAAGCGGGGUAGGUCGAGGAAAGGGAUCACUAGGAAUAAACUUGAUGAGGAACUUCCAAGGCACCUCAUGAACAGGCGUUAGUUUAUUGUCAUGAGCUAAUAAUUGCUUCUUUAACAAGUUUUUAAGGAAUUUCUGCUGCAGACUCAGUGCUAUGGGAGGCACUGCGGGGCCACAGAAACUUCUAAAGGGCUUGCGAAGCAGUUAAGGACAGGAUAUGCAUAUGGCACAGGAAGCUUCAAUGGAUAACACCAAAAAAUAUAACGAAGCCACAGACUGCAACAGGAACCAUAAGAACAACUAGGGAAUUAAAGAGAAAGGGACCAGCUGAGCCCAGUGGCUCACACCUGUAAUCCCAGCACUUUGGGAGGCUGAGGCGGGCAAAAUCACCUGAGGUCAGGAGUUUGAGACCAGCCUGACCAACACGGUGAAACCCUGUCUCUACUAAAAUUAUAAAAAUUAGCUGGCAUGGUGGUAGGUGCCUGUAACUUCACCUACUUGGGAGGCUGAGGCAGGAGAAUCACUUGAACGCAGGAGGCGGAGGUUGUGGUGAGCCAAGAUCGCGCCAUUGCACUCCAGCCUGGGCAACAAGAGCAAAACUCCGUCUCAAAAAAAAAAGGCUGGGCCCAGUGGCUCAUACCUGUAAUCCCAGCACUUUGGGAGGCUGAGGUGGGCGGAUCACCUGAGGUCAGGAGUUUGAGAUCAGCUUGGCUAACAUGGUAAAACUCCAUGUCUGCUAAAAAUACAAAAAUUAGCUGCGUGUGGUGGCAUGUGCCAGUAGUCACCACUGCUUGGGAGGCUGAGACAGGAGAAUCACGUGAACCUGGGAGGCAGAGGUUGCAGUGAGCUGAGAUUAUGCCACUGCAUUCCAGCCUGGGCAGUGGAGCGAGACUCCAUUUCAAAAAAAGAGAGAGAGAGAGAAAGGGACCAAAGAGGGCUUCCUGGCACCCAGGAGGAAUUCACAAAAACAUUUCCAGAGCAAAAAGUGAAAGUGUCUGUAAAAGGGUACGUCCUCCCCUGGACUAUGAAUUCCUUAUGGGCAGAAGUAGUAAAAUGAUAGGCGUUUCACUGAGAUUGAAGGGAAUGGCAUAAAUUUGACUACAUCAGAAUUUUGUCUGGAAUCAACCUUGCCUACCUCCACCUGAUUUAGUUAGAAUACCGCAGUGUGAGUGGCGGUCUAGACAAAUUUGCCUGAGUAAAUCCUGAACAGGUAAGUAUCCUGAAGUUUUUGGCUUAAACACAAACACAGCUUCUCAGUCUCUCUGGCGGCCCAGGGACAGUGACCUUUCUUAGUGUCUGCAGGAGAUACACAUGAAGCCAGUGUCACCCUGAGCCAGGGGCCUAUUGGCAAGUUCCCAGGUGAAGGUGGGGGGCUAACCCGAAGCACGGCUCCCCCUCGGCACUGCUAGGCUGGAUCAUUCUCUGUUGCAGGGGCUGCCCUGUGUGUUCUUAGUGGCAUCCUUAGCCUCUGCCACUCUGUGCCAGUAGCGCCCAACCCUCCCCAAUCCGGUCCAACAAGCACCAAUGUCUCUAGCAGCAUCAAACAUCCCCCUGGCUCUAGGGAUCAGAUCCCACACUACCGUGCCACGAGAGGGUGUCUAAAACCAAAGGUCUGUGCCCUGCUCAUCAUUCACACAAUCCCCUGGCAAAGCCACUUUGCUUCUGCUGAUAGCAUUCCCUUACAUCUGAAGGGAAUUUAGACUUCCUGUAAUUCAAGGAUCUCUUUUUAAGGAGAUUAAGGCCCAGGAGGGACCUCCACAUGGGACACGUCAUGUCGGAGAGACUCCACAUGGAUCUGCCCAGUACCUGUGUGUGGGACAGACAGGACCUGGAGAUCCAGGGUGGGGAUGGUGAAGGGAGAAUAGACAGAUGGGGGGGUGCAUUCAUGAAAUGGGGUGACAUCACAGCAGUUCAUAGAGUAAAAACUGUCGAAUCUGCCACCUGGCCCUUGCAAGGCUGCUCCCUACCAUAAAGCAGGAAGUAGGGUGCCAGCUCCCCUCGCCUCCAGCGGUGCCCAGCAGGCCCCUUGCUGGGGGUGGGCAUAUCACACUAUGGAUAUUUGUUUUAGAAAUAGUUCUUGAGGACCAAAAGGUAAGCUGAAGUCAUUUGUUCAUCAUUCAGGAAACAUUUUGAUGUGCUUUUGUUGACUACUGAGGACACAAGUCUCUGCCCACAGGUAGAUGUAUGCAGCAGGCAUGAAGAGAUCCUCCUAAAACAAGGACACAUGUGAGGCAACAGGCAUGUUGUGGGGGCUGAGGGUGCAGAGGGGCUGCAUCCAACCCAACAGGAAAGACAAGGACCACUUUCAGGGGCUGCGAACCCCCGAGCUAAGUCUAAAAGGAUGAUUUCAGCAGUUACAGAGUAAGAAAGCGAGGCUGGAGGAGGGCACUGGAGGUGCAAGGGAAAUCUCACAAAAGCUUGUGGCCCAUCAGGCACAGCAACCUCACGCCUGUAAUCCCAGCACUUUGGGAGGCCGAGGCAGGCGGAUCACCUGAGGUCAGGAGUUUGAGACCAGCCUGACCAACAUGGCAAAACCCCUUCUCUACUAAACGUACAACAAUUAGCUGGGCAUGGUGAUGGGUGCCUGUAAUCCCAGCUACUCAGGAGGCUGAGGCAGGGAAAUCGCUUGAACUCUGGUGGUUCGAGGUUGCAGUGAGCUGAGAUUGUGCCACUGUACUCCAGCCUGGGCAACAGAGCAAGACUGUGUCUGGAAGUGAUACAGUGGGCGGGCAGAACCCCAGCACUCCACCUCGGCAGGAUGUUAGAGUCAAGUCAGAAGAGAGAAAUCAGGGCCGGGCACAGUGGCUCAAGCCUGUAAUCCCAGCACUUUGGGAGGCCGAGGCAGGUGGAUCACGAGGUCAAGAGAUCGAGACCAUCCUGGUCAACAGGGUGAAACCCUGUCUCUACCAAAAAUACAAAAUAUUAGCUGGGCAUGGUGGCGCAUGCCUGUAAUCCCAGCUACUCAGGAGGCUGAGGCAGGAUAAUUGCCUGAACCCAGGAGGCGGAGGUUGCGGUGAGCCAAGAUCGCGCCAUUGCACUCCAGUCUGGGUAACAAGAGCGAAACUCCAUCUCAAAAAAGAAAAAAAAAAAGAAGAAGAGAGAAAUCAGACUGAAAGGCUGUGACUGCAGUCUUGAAGAACUUGCAUUUCAUCUCUAAGGCAAUGAGGAGCCACUGAGGGAUAGAAUCAAGGAGCACAAGGUCAGGCGGGGCAGCAGGUAGGACAAUGCUGCAGUGAGGGGAGACAGGGGAGACCCACAGGCAGGGUGGAGGGAGGAGAGUCAGGGAUGCCUCUGAGGAUGCCUAGAAGAGCUAAGAAUGAUGCUCAGGGCUGGACGUGGUGGGUCAAGCCUGCAAUCCCAACACUUUGGGAAGCCAAGUUGGGAGGAUCACUUGAGGCGAAGAGUUCAAGAUGUUCAAGAUUGAGGUCUCGCUAUGUUGACCAGGCUGUCAACAUAGCGAGACCUCAAUUCUGUUUAAAAACACAAAAGCAGAUGCUCAGGUGUCUAGCGGUGACUUAAAUGAGGCAGUGCACACAGAAGAAGCAGGCAUGCAGCGGGAGCUCUGGACCUCCACGUAGGACGCGUUACGUCUGAGAGACUCCACAUGGAGCUGCCCAGUACAGGCAGCUCCAAGACUUUCAUUUCCCACCACCACACUCUCCCCAAGGCACCAGAAUGUGAGCUGGCACCACGGUGAGGACUCCGGACCUACUAAUGGACUGUGAACCUAACAUUUGUGGGAAACGUUGCACAACUUCUAAGGUCUGUGGUCAGAUGGGUUCACCCACAGCCUAAUCGUAAGUGUAGAUGCUUAAGAACUAGAUUGUAGCUUACAAAAGCUGUUGGCUGUUUAUCGCGAAGUGUGCUACCAGAGGGUAGUGCAGUUUUGCUACAUAUUUGUAGUCCUGUACAUUUGAGGGUGGGAAUAAGGCUCUCUGAGCAGCCUCUCCGCAUGUCAUGCCCUCUAAUGAAUACCCACAGUGUCCCCAUUUCUCAUGAACCAGGACUUGACGUUUACCCCUGGAUAUCUCUCAUAGACUCACGCUCUCUGUGGGACAGAGACAAGAGCAUUUGCUCAAACCCUUCCUGAAUUCUUUUCAACCCUUAGCUAUUUCAGUCCUUUUCACAGUAGUCACACCUUUCAGCCACUGAGUUAUUCAACCUGAGACUCAGAGGCCUGUCCUGGGAGGAAAAUGAUGGUUUAAAUGAGGAGCAUUUCCUAAAGCAUUUUGCAUUUUAUUUCUUACUCCAACUUUGCAAGUACUUCUGUGUAUAGAAAUUUUUACUCUUUCCCUAAAGCUUUGUAGUCUCUCCUUUCUACUGAAGAGAAAUUAAAGUGCAGCAUUGGGGUCAGGGUCCAGAGCGUAGAACGUGCCUUCAGGUGGGUCCAGGCAAGGGUGUGGCCCCAGGUCAUGGCCCCUGGCCCUGGCCCUCCUCAGGUACUACUGCCUGGAGGAGGAUUUAGUGUUAGCUGGAGUACUUUGGUAUUUUACCUGUUUAAGAAUGAAAUGCAGUUAGGCAUGGUGGCUCACAAUUGUAAUCCCAGCAUUUUGGGAGGCUGAGGUGGGUGGGUCAACUGAGGUCAGGAGUUCGAGACCAGCCUGGCCAACAUGGUGAAACCCCAUCUCUAUUAAAAAUACAAAAAUUAGGCUGGGCAUGGUGGCUCAUGCCUGUAAUCCCAGAACUUUGGGAGGCAGAAGCAAGUGGGUCACAAGGUCAGGAAAUCAAGACCAUCCUGGCCAACACGGUGAAACCCUGUCUCUACUAAAAAUACAAAAAAAAAAACAAAACCAUGUGUGGUGGCGGGCGCCUGUAGUCCCAGCUACUCAGGAGGCUGAGGCAGGAGAAUCACUUGAACCUGGGAGGUGGAGGUUGCUGAGAUCGCACUACUACACUGCAGCCUGGGCGACAGAGCCUGCAUCACUGCACUACAGAGCGAGAUUCUGUCUCAAAAAAAAAAAAGAACAAAGUGCUUCCUGGCAGAGUGAAGUCUCUCCUCCUUCCACAGUGGACUCUCUUUAUUAUGACUGUGAUGUGAUUGGGGUACACAAGCUGGUGUCUUCUCCAAAGGUCAGCUGAGGAGCUCUCUGGAAACACAAGUCCAUUGUGAAAUCCUCAGCAAUUCCUCACAGCAGAAUAUCACCCUGUGAGAAACGUAGGAAUCUAAACCCUGCAAUUCACAGCCAGUCUGGUGAAGCAUCCGGACAAGGAGACUAAGAUUUAAUCUUGAUUCUCCACUAAUUGGCACUGUAGUGUUCCCAGAAGUCAUUUCUGCUCACUGGGUCUCAAUUUUCUAAUCUAUAAAAUGAAGGGUUGGAGUAGAUCACUGUUUCUCACGCUGCGGGGUAUAGACAUAUUCUUGGGAGCUGUGAGCUCUCUAUUAGAAUUUUUUUUCCUAAAAAAAACUUUUUUUUUGAGACGGAGUAUUGCUCUGUCACCCAGGCUGUAGUGCAGCUUACUGCAACCUCCAUCUUCCACAUUCAAGAGAUUCUCCUGCCUUAGCCUUCCGAGUAGCUGGGAUUACAGGCACACACCAUCACAUCUGGCUAAUUUUUGUAUUUUUAGUAGAGAUGGGGUUUUGCCAUAUUGGCCAGGCUGGUCUUGAACUCCUGACCUCAGGUGAUCUACCUGCCUUGGUCUCUCUAAGUGCUGGGAUUAUAGGUGUGAGCCACUGUGCUCAACCUUUUUUUUUUCUAAAUGUUUGAUUUUAUUUAUUUAUUAUUUCCUUUAAACUGUCUCCCCCAGGAAGGAUUAUUUAUUUUUGAUGUCUUGCUCUGACAUCAAGGCUGGGUCAUAUGAUCUUGUGGCGGCAUGAUCAUAGCUCACAGCAGCCUUGAAUUCUGGGGCUCAAGCAAUCCUCUUGCCUCAGCCUCUCGAGUAGAUGAGACUACAGGCAUGUGCUACCACACUGAGCUAAUUUUUUAUUUUAAUUUUUUUUAGAUAUAGGAUCUCCCUAUGUUGCCAAGGGUGGUCCCAAACUCCUGGCCUCCAGUGAUCCUCCUGCCUCAGCCUCUCAAAGUGUUCAGAAUUACAGGUGUGAGCCACUGCACCUGGCCAACCCAACUUUUUAAUUCAAAACAGUUCAGACUUACAGAAUAAUUGCAAAAAUAAAAUAAGAACAUUCACACACCCUUCACAUGGAUUCACUAAUUAAUAGCAUUUUGCUACGAAAGUCUAUUCCCUUCUAUGGGUGUUUUCAUGUUGAUAAAAAUGGGCUGGGCAUGGUGACUCAGGCCUAUAAUCCCACCACUUUGGGAGGCCAAGGCAGGCAGAUCAUCUGAGGUCAGGAAUUCGAGACCAGCCUGGUCAACAUGGUGAAACCCCAUCUCUACUAAAAAUACAAAAGUUAGCCUUGCGUAGUGGUGCACACCGUAAUCCCAGCUACUCAAGAGACUGAAGAAGGAGAAUUGCUUGAAUCCGGGAGGCAGAGGUUGCAGUGGGCAGAGAUCACAUCACCGCACUCCAGCCUGGGCAUCAGAGCAAGACUCUGUCUCUAAAUAAAUAAAUAAUAAAUUCAUGUAAGCUUCUAUCUGAAUUAUAACGGGGGCUACUGCCUGCACCAGGGCUUGGGGGUCUGCUUGUGUCUACCUUCCCUUUGGCAUCAGAUGAAGAGGUCUCCACAAUAUCCACACCAAAUGAUAUCAUGAGGUCCCACAUAAAUGAAGGUUGUUCAGUAAUUUUAAAGGGAAAAGCGUGUGGGAAAUUUGAGUUCUUUCUCAUUUCAUACAUUUGCAGUAUAGUAAAGGCAUGUCAAACACACACACAGACUUCUCCAGAAGUCCUUUCCAUAUUGAUGUUACCAGUAGCAAUUUAGUUUGAGCAAAACAUCAUUUGACAAAUUAAAUUAGUUACUAAAUUAAAUUUUUGUGAUUUGAAAGGAAUUUUUUUACUGACUUUGUAAAUUUGUCUUAUUAUAAUUGGUCAAGAGUUAUGAACAUAAGGGCUUUAUUUAUUUUUAAGAUGGAGUCUCACUCUAUUGCUAGGCUGGCGUGUGUGGGGUGAUCUCGGCUCACUGCAACCUCUGCCUCCCAGGUUUAAGCGAUUCUCCUGCCUCUCCCUCCUAAGUAGCUGGGGCUACAGGCACACGCCACCAUGCCCAGAUAAUUUUCGUAUUUUUAGUAGAAAUGGGGUUUCACCAUGUUGGCCAAGAUGGUCUAGAUCUUUUGACCUUGUGAUCCGCCUGCCUUGGCCUCCCAAAGUGCUGGGAUUAGGGGCAUGAGCCACUGCACCCCACUGAGCAUAAGGAAUUUAUAAUGUUGGCGUAGACCUGAGCAGCACUAUAAAAAAAGUAAAACUGAGGUCAUGCUAGAGUGUCACUGGGGAGACUUGCAUUCAUCUUGUUUAUAAACAAUGGACCAGAACAAGUUCAGAUGUGCCUCAAGAGGAUCAGGCAGUUAAGUAAGUAUACCCAUUUUGUUAUAUUGAGAUUCAGUACAAGAUUUUGUUUGGAAAAAGUUUGAAUAUCACCUAUCUAGAAUAAUUUGAUGAAUCCGUUCAUCUUUAGCAACUAAACCCAUUUAUUUUCACUUCGAAAGUACUGUUAGCUGCGGACCAUC